rnacentral:rRNA from 1 species
AUUGAACGCUGGCGGCAGGCCUAACACAUGCAAGUCGAGCGGAGCGGCGGACGGGUGAGUGAUGCCUAGGAAUCUGCCUGGUAGUGGGGGAUAACGUCCGGAAACGGGCGCUAAUACCGCAUACUAGCAGAUGAGCCUCGGUCGGAUUGGCUAGUUGGUGGGGUAAUGGCCUACCAAGGCGACGAUCCGUAACUGCUCUGAGAGGAUGAUCAGUCAAACUGGAACUGAGACACGGUCCAGACUCCUACGGGAGGAAGCAGUGGGGAAUAUUGGGCAAUGGGCGAAAGCCUGAUCCAGCCAGGCCGCGGGUGUGAAGAAGGUUUUCGGAUUGUAAAACACUGUAAGUUGGGAGGCGGUACCAACAGAGAAAGCACCGGCUAACUACGUGCCAGCAGCCGCGGUAAUAC